AAGUCGUAACAAGGUUUCGUAGGUGAACCUGCGGAAGGAUCAUAGUAAUCGUCUCUGACGUUCUGCUUUCCGUCGUCCUCGGGACGUGAAGCCGCUCUGGUCGAGGAUAAACGACCCCUCUGACCGAGGCUAACCGUCGCUUGUUACCUCUUUGCCGAGGCACACGUUAAAGAUCGUUCCGCAUUGUGAGUCUGACACCAGUUGUAACACUUUUACAACCGGUAGCGCUGGAUCCCUUGGCACGUCAUUCGAUGAAGACCGUUGCAAAUUGCGAUAAAGUGAUGUGAUGCGCAAGUCCACCACUUAUACGUGAAUCAUCGAGUUGUUGAACGCACUGCACCGCGCCCUAAUCCGGCUGCGGUAUGCCCCUUUGAGCGUCAUUGUAUCCCUUCGGGAGUCUUUUCUGCUUGCAAGGACCCGAGUUCGGAGUCCUCGGUCCCCCCCGGAUCGUGUUCUCUCAGAUGCGUCGCGCCGAUCGCCUGAUGGGUACUCUAAUGCCUGAGCGUGGAGUCCCUCGGGAGCAGAGACGCGCUCGACCGAGUGGUGAGCCCGCGUCGCCAAGUCCGCCCUUUGGGGACCGGUACUACCAACGCAUGACCUCAUUGGGGUAGGACAACCCGCUAGACUUAAGCAUAUCAAUAAGCGGAAGGAAA
rnacentral:rRNA from 1 species